AACAUCGUUCGAAUAAUUAUACUAGAAGAAAUUUUAAAAAGUCUACGUUCGCUGUUCGUCUACGACGUUUAUCAUAAUAUUUGCGAGCUGGCAUUAUCACCGUUGAAUCGUGAACUUUCAAGAGUUUCUAUCGCGAUAUCUACCAAGGGAAGCCAAUGAAACGAGCAUUGUUCAGGUCAAAAGCUAAUACGAGCAUUCCCGUCUUGCGUAUGCAGAAUUCAAUAAAAAGUAAAAGAUAUCGUUGUUCAUAACAAACGAGGCCGUGAGGAAGGGACACGUUCUCAUCGAAACAUACAAUGAAGCCACGGAAUGACGUUUGCAGACUCGUUGUACGAGUCCUCGAACAAGAGGAACUCGGAAGAAACUGGGGAGGUAGAUGUUUUAUGAGAAAAGUUUCUUUCAUGUUGUAAGAAUCGUGGUACAUCAUUCUUCGUCGCAUGCAUACGCGCAGUCGUGCAACGUGAAUUCGUUCGAAGAUAAUUCUUUCAUUAUUUAUGAACGAUUACGUCAUCGUAUUAACGAUAUGAUUAGCGCCGUUUCCCCAAGAUAUUUUGAUGUAUUUUCGACGCACCACGUCAAGGGACGACCGCCUAGGAAAUCUGUUGAUCCGCGAUCAGCGCAUCGAGACUUCGUGCACUGUAUUAAUUAACGUUAAUUACCUGAAUUAAACGCGAUCUGUUUGUAACGUA